GUGGUUCGCACCUGGGAGCAGGAGACGUGAAAGCAGCGUGCUGAUACACAUCCGUUCUGGAACCCGGAUUAAAAAAUGGACUUUUCUGAUCUUCCAAGACUGAAUCCGAGUGGACGCCAAACUUAAAUAACUGAACUUUCGUGGAUGAACCUGAAAUGGUCUCUUUGCCGAAUGGGCCUAGAAGGUUGGCGUCCACCUGCUAGCGUGGACGCCACCAGGCCACGGGAGCGCCAUGAUUGAAAUCGCUGCGUUUGUUAUUCGAGCAGCAGAGGAGGAGCGACCCGACCAUGGCGUCUCAACGGCGGAUUGUUUGUUGGCUGGCGUCCAGAAAAUAUAGAAAUGGCGUCUGGACUUGGCAGUAUAUCGACAAUGGAUUACCUACGUUGAUCUACAAUCAAGUUGAGGAUCGCUUCUAGCUGCCUGGGGGAUCCGCCCGAUCCAUCAAUGGAUGGUUUCGAUGGCGGGUCCAGAAGACGUCUCAGGGUAGGAGCUGCUGGUUGAAGGCCUACGCUAGGCCUCGCGCUCUGCUGGUUUGGUUUGAUUCUCUGCUGAGAGUCUGAGCUGAGAAGGAUUCUGCUGGUUUAAAUCCUUCUGCUUUGGUUUUUGUACUGCAGUUUUUGAAACAACUGCUGUGGUCAUUUUGACCUGUGCAGGUUUAGGUGCAAUUAGUUGUUGGGAUCUUAAGUUCAUGGUUAAAAGUCUGUUGUGAUGUGAAAGAAAGAUGGCUGCCAAGGAUUUGGCAAAUACAGUUUAGAGGCUACAGGAAGUGAUUUGCCCUAGUAAAUGAUAAAUAUAGCAAAUAAACCUUGAUAACAUACCUACAUAUUUAAUGUGGCUAUGUUGACAUAUUAGCAUAGGUGCAUUAAGGUAAUUAUCUUUUUGGUGAAUAUUAUCAAAUAUCUCUGGGUAAAAAUAAGGUCUUUCAUUUACAUUUCUACAUGCAUACCUUUGUUGUUUGUUGUACCUACUAAAUAUUUAGUUUCAAAUUUUAUUUAAAUAUUUCAAAGGCAGGGUUCAUACUUUAAUAAUUCAAUAAAUCAAACAAAUUUACGUUAAACAAUUUCACAAAAACUGUGAAAACUGAUUUUAUUGCGUCGAAACAACAAAGCGCGGCCUCUUGCGAUUUCAUUUUGGAAUUUCAUUUCUUCUGGACGACGACGCUCAGCGGAGAGAUCUACUGGAGCUGCAGGUCGGAUGUCACAGAGGUAAUGUUCACACUGUCUAAUCAAACUCUUUUCACAGGUUUUCAGCUGAAAUUAACUCCAUGUUUUUCUUCUAGAGCCACUGGGAGCUUUUUAAGUGUAUGUUUUAAACCCAGUUUCUCUCCUAGUCUAAUGAAUGGUUGACCUUUUGUUGCACCUAACUGUUUUCCCUCCCUUUCUAAAGCCUUUAAAAUCACAAUUAAGUUGUUUCUUUCAGAGAUGAAGUCACCAAAAAGGAGCUUCUACUGCAGCUAAAUCCAUUUUCUCCUGUAGAAAACUCUCUCUUUCUUCUGUCCUAUUUUUUCCUCUGUCCUUUCAAAUCCCCCGGGGGUAGUGACAGAUGGCCUUUCAUACAGAACCACCUUCUGGUUCUGCUGGAGGUUUCUUCCUGUUAAAGGGAAGUUUUUCCUCCACUGUCACUACAAGCAUCCUCAAUAUGAGGCAUUGCUUUAGCUCAACUUUCAACCAAUUUAAAUAAUUGGUGCAAUGUUGACCUCUUUUUGAGUCUUCCUUUUAAAGGGAAGUUUUUCUUCUCUAUUCUCAUGCAUCCUCAGUAUGGUAAGGAUGCAUGGGUCAACUUUUCAUCAGAUUUCAUCGUUUAGCAACCCCCCACUGACGGAUGGAAAGGCCGUCAUCGCCCUGCUGCUGAAGGAUGACCUCGGUGACCCCACCAUCGGCUUGGCAGUCAGACUCAAGAAAUGCUGCAGGAAUCCACCUGGGUCAACUUUUCAUCUGACUUCAUCCUUAAUCAACCCCCACUGACGGCUGGAAAGGCCUUCAUCGCCCUGCUGCUGAAGGAUGACCUCGGUGACCCCACCAUCGGUUCGGCAGUCUUCCUCAAGAAA